GAUGAACGCUAGCGGCAGGCCUAACACAUGCAGGUCGAGGGGUAGCAGGAUUAAGCUUGCUUAAUUGCUGACGACCGGCGCACGGGUGCGUAACGCGUAUGCAACCUACCUUAUACUGGGGUAUAGCCCGGAGAAAUUCGGAUUAAUCCCCCAUAGUACUAAUGAAUCGCAUGGUUUAUUAGUUAAAGCAUUGCGGUAUAAGAUGGGCAUGCGUCCUAUUAGCUAGAUGGUGAGGUAACGGCUCACCAUGGCUACGAUAGGUAGGGGGCCUGAGAGGGUGGUCCCCCACACUGGUACUGAGACACGGACCAGACUCCUACGGGAGGCAGCAGUGAGGAAUAUUGGUCAAUGGGCGCAAGCCUGAACCAGCCAUGCCGCGUGCAGGAAGAAUGCCUUAUGGGUUGUAAACUGCUUUUAUUUGGGAAUAAACCUCUUUACGUGUAGAGAGCUGAAGGUACCAAAUGAAUAAGCACCGGCUAACUCCGUGCCAGCCGCCGCGGUAA
rnacentral:rRNA from 1 species